CGCUGGCGGCAUGCCUAACACAUGCAAGUCGAACGAGACCUUCGGGUCUAGUGGCGCACGGGUGCGUAACGCGUGGGAACCUGCCUUUAGGUUCGGAAUAACAGUGAGAAAUUACUGCUAAUACCGGAUGAUGUCUUCGGACCAAAGAUUUAUCGCCUUUAGAUGGGCCCGCGUUGGAUUAGCUAGUUGGUGGGGUAAAGGCCUACCAAGGCGACGAUCCAUAGCUGGUCUGAGAGGACGACCAGCCACACUGGAACUGAGACACGGUCCAGACUCCUACGGGAGGCAGCAGUGGGGAAUUUUGGACAAUGGGCGCAAGCCUGAUCCAGCCAUGCCGCGUGGAUGAUGAAGGCCUUAGGGUUGUAAAAUCCUUUCAACGGGGACGAUAAUGACGGUACCCGUAGAAGAAGCCCCGGCUAACUUCGUG
rnacentral:rRNA from 1 species